ACGCUCGACACCUACGGGAGGCGCAGUGGGGAAUAUUGCACAAUGGGGGAAACCCUGAUGCAGCGACGCCGCGUGAGCGAAGAAGUAUCUCGGUAUGUAAAGCUCUAUCAGCAGGGAAGAAGAUGACGGUACCUGACUAAGAAGCACCGGCUAAAUACGUGCCAGCAGCUGCGGUAAUCUGAGCGGGCUGGCAAGGC
rnacentral:rRNA from 1 species